rnacentral:rRNA from 1 species
UACAGAGGUGCCGAGCGUUAGGCGGAAUCACUGGGCUUAAAGCGUGUGUAGGCGGAUGCCUAAGUACCUUGUGAAAUCCCACAGCUCAACUGUGGAACUGCUUGGUAUACUGGGUGUCUUGAGCCACUUAGGGGUUACCGGAACAAAUGGUGGAGCGGUGAAAUGCGUAGAUAUCGGGAGGAACACCAGUGGCGAAGGCGGCCUCUGGACCAGUACUGACGCUCAUGCACGAAAGCGUGGGGAGCAAACAGG